AUGCAGCUUGUCACAUUAGGGACAAGAAGCCAGGCUCCUGAUUUCAUUUCUACCAGCGAGGAUCUGGGGGCAGGACCCACUCCUGACAAUGACAGUGUUCCCUGCAGACAUUUCUCUGAGACAAGAGAUCUAAACCAGCACGGGAACCAGCCCAGAGUUCCCACCAGGGAGCAUGCUGAGGCAGAGCUGGGGGCUGGCACGUGGCGCCUCCACAUCCAGGGCACUGCCCCCAAUGCAACGACCACCUGCUGCCCAGAGACACCCAGGAACCACAGGAGCCAGCCAAUAGCUCUGCAUCCUGAGCCCAGGCGGUGAGAUGUGUGUUUCUGUCCAGGGGCUCAAACCUGCCACACAGCUCUGGAACAGACCUGGUCACUCCCUCCCCUUCCUGUCCCCUCUGUCCUCUGUGUCCUACACAGCUCUUCAGUUACGAAUUUGUCCUACCAACCUUCUCCCCCUCAUGACCGGAGGGGAAAAAACCCUUAGCAUCAAGGAAAAAACCCUCAAUAAUGUUUGGUCUCCCUCUUAGCACUUAGCCUACUAAUAAUGCUGGUACCAAUAAAUGCUGUUGAAUAACUGAAUGAUCUGGGUCAGUUACAUUUUCCAUCACAGGAAUCACCAGGAGGGCUUCUGUCUUUCUUUUCUUUCUUUUUUUCUUUUUUUUUUUUCUUUCUUUUUUUCUUUUCUUUUUCUUUUUCUUUUUGUUAAGAGAUUAAGCCUUUAUUUCCUCAUUUCACAAACAGAGCUGGCUGACUUGGUUGCUUCUGUAGGGCUUUUGUCGAAAACCAAAUUCUGACAUCAAUUUCUAAAACUAGUUACAGUAUUACAGUUGAAGUGAACCUCUGCUUCUUUCCAAUGUCAAUCUUUCCGUGGAGCCUACUUUCCCAUCAGGAGCCACCUCGACCCAGUGCUUGGUGACAGCUCCUCAUCUCCGUGGUGCCCUGAGGUCCUGCACCAAACCCACUUGCCUUUCCACUCAAGCAUCGCCAUACCCCGUGACACUAGACCAGUGGUUCUCAAACUUUUCGGACUUAAGACCCCUAUCUUUCCUCAAAUUAUUUUUUAAAGGAUUCUAUGUAUGAUAUUUACUUGAAAUUAACACAGAG
rnacentral:lncRNA from 1 species